rnacentral:snoRNA from 12 species
GGUGCAAUGAUGAGAUAAAACACUCUAUGUGUAUUGGGCAGUGGACGUUACCAUCAGGUUUCGCCGUGAGCCUAAUAUUAAACGACUUCUCCUUCCACUGAGCACU